GACGAACGCUGGCGGCGUGCUUAACACAUGCAAGUCGAACGGAAAGGCCCUGCUUUUGUGGGGUGCUCGAGUGGCGAACGGGUGAGUAACACGUGAGUAACCUGCCCUUGACUUUGGGAUAACUUCAGGAAACUGGGGCUAAUACCGGAUAGGAGCUCCUGCUGCAUGGUGGGGGUUGGAAAGUUUCGGCGGUUGGGGAUGGACUCGCGGCUUAUCAGCUUGUUGGUGGGGUAGUGGCUUACCAAGGCUUUGACGGGUAGCCGGCCGGAGAGGGUGACCGGCCACAUUGGGACUGAGAUACGGCCCAGACUCCUACGGGAGGCAGCAGUGGGGAAUAUUGCACAAUGGGCGGAAGCCUGAUGCAGCAACGCCGCGUGCGGGAUGACGGCCUUCGGGUUGUAGACCGCUUUCGCCUGUGACGAAGCGUGAGUGACGGUAAUGGGUAAAGAAGCACCGGCUAACUACGUG
rnacentral:rRNA from 1 species